GCGUUCGUGGUGUAUCGGUAACAUUGGGUCUUCCCAUGUUCGGAGCGAACUGAUUUAAUCAUGGCCUAGCACCGGGUUCGACUCCCGGCGGACGCA